CAGCCGCCGCGGGAAUACGUAGGUGGCAAGCGUUGUCCGGAAUUAUUGGGCGUAAAGGGCUCGCAGGCGGUUUCUUAAGUCUGAUGUGAAAGCCCCCGGCUCAACCGGGGAGGGUCAUUGGAAACUGGGAAAUUUGAGUGCAGAAGAGGAGAGUGGAAUUCCACGUGUAGCGGUGAAAUGCGUAGAGAUGUGGAGGAACACCAGUGGCGAAGGCGACUCUCUGGUCUGUAACUGACGCUGAGGAGCGAAAGCGUAGGGAGCGAACAGGAUUAGAUACCCCAGUAGUCCCUGUCUCUUAUAC
rnacentral:rRNA from 1 species